rnacentral:rRNA from 1 species
GUGAUUGAUAACCAUUACGCCAGCAUCCUUGCAGAAGUGCGUACCUCGAAUCCCCAGGGCGGUAUUAUACAAUAGGCUAUAACACUCCCGAGGGAGCCACAUUCCUAAAGCUUUUAUCCCACCCCGAAAAUCGAUGCUGGCCUAAACUAAACAAAGUGCACCGGUGAGAACACCGGAUGAUUCGCCUAGAAAAAGUCUGGUCAUAAAUCCUUCCCUUUCAACAAUUUCACGUGCUAUUUAACCCUCUUUUCAAAGUGCUUUUCAUCUUUCGAUCACUCUACUUGUGCGCUAUCGGUCUCUGGCCAGUAUUUAGCUUUAGAAGAAAUUUACCUCCCAUUUAGAGCAGCAUUCCCAAACUACUCGACUCGUCGAAGGAGUUUUACAAAGGCUAGGCAUUCAACCGUACGGGGCUCUCACCCUCUAAGGCGUCCUGUUCCAAGGAACUCGGAAGAUACCGCACCAAAAACAUCCUCUACAAAUUACAAUUCGGACCCAAGGGCCAGAUUUCAAAUUUGAG